rnacentral:rRNA from 1 species
GACUACUCGGGUAUCUAAUCCUGUUUGCUCACCACGCUUUCGAGCCUCCGUGUCAGUCACAGACCAGAAUGUCGCCUUCGCCACUGGUGUUCUUCCAUAUAUCUACGCAUUCCACCGCUACACAUGGAGUUACACAUUCCUCUUCUGUACUCAAGUUUCACAGUUUCCAAUGACCCUCCCCGGUUAAGCCGUCGGCUUUCACAUACGACUUAAGAUACCUACUGCGCCACCUUUACGCCCAAUCACUACGCACAACCCUUCCCACCUACGUAUUCCUCACUCCCAUCGCACGACUUCACC